rnacentral:rRNA from 2 species
AACCAUCGAGUCUUUGAACGCAAGUUGCGCCUGAGGCCAACCGGCUGAGGGCACGUCCGCCUGGGCGUCAAGC